CCGGCGGGACGACCCGCCAGCGGAGUGGCCCCGGCGGGACGACCCGC
rnacentral:ncRNA from 1 species